rnacentral:rRNA from 1 species
AGACGGAAGAGGCGAGCGUUGUUCGGAAUCACUGGGCUUAAAGCGCGUGUAGGCGGCCUCGCAAGUACCUUGAGAAAUCCCCCGGCUCAACCGAGGAAUGGCAGGGUAUACUGCGGGGCUUGAGGCAGGUAGAGGUGCCUGGAACUCUAGGUGGAGCGGUGAAAUGCGUAGAUAUCUAGAGGAACGCCCGUGGCGAAAGCGGGGCACUGGGCCUGUCCUGACGCUGAGACGCGAAAGCGUAGGUAGCAAACGGGAUUAGAAACCCCAGUAGUCC